UCUAAAUUCUGGUGUUUGCAUCUAAUUAUUGUAUAAAAUGAAUGAGUAAAGAUGAAACUAUUUGUGAAAUGAUGUAAUUUGCUGUUAAACCUUUAAUGUGAUAGAAUUGUAUUCCCUUUAAAGUUUAACUAAGUCAUUGGCCCGACCCCGUGAGCACAGACAUGAUCUGGCAUCAUGGAACAGCCCGUUCCUAUUAUUACGAAUAAAACCCCCUCCUGAGGAAAUCCUUUUCAGACUACGCAUACCUUGGUGUAAGCUGAGGUGGUACAGGUUUGAGCACCAAAACUAGAAAACUAUACCAGGUGGAGCAUUGGCGACACGGCUGGAAACGGUUGAACUCUGAGACUAUCGAUCCCUACAGAAUAAGAGCAAAUCUUAGACACUUAUUACUAGACUGCAGCUAGAAAUUACGUAAACCUGGGACGAGAAUACCGACAACCGCCGAAACAUCUAUUCUGAGAACAUUUAUGAAUGGUACUCUGAAGUGUCUAUUCUAACCACGAAAGACUUUGAUCUUCAGGGAAACAGGAAGAGAGAGAGAGUCUCAGAUGAACUCUCCAGCAGACGGACCGGAUUCCAACAGAGAAGAUCAUGACACACGGGCGUGAGGUAGUUCCAUUUUUUUGCUGACAUCAGAGCCGCUGAGGGGGAUUUAGCCUGGGUCAAUGAUAGAGCUUGGUGUGGGUGGUCUUGACUACUGUUACGACCUGUAUGAUUACCGUAUGUGACAUCAUCGAUGUGACGAAGGAAGGCCAAUCCUGUCCCUUUAACGCUCACAAUGUUGUAGUAACAAAGAGCCACUCUAACACUAAUGCAGAGCCUGGCACAUCCAGUGAGGAGUGUUUCAAGUGGUGUCAACUGUGUCCUCUCCUGCCCCUCUUCUCCUGUGGUGUCAACUGUGUCCUCUCCUGCCCCUCUUCUCCUUCCA
rnacentral:lncRNA from 1 species